rnacentral:lncRNA from 1 species
GUCCACGGAGCCAAAGCUGGAGGGCUGCUGCCGGCCACGAGGCCCUCUGUGCAUGCCAUGCUUAAUAAGGUAAUAAAAAGGUAAGAUUAUAAAGAAGGAAGAGGCCUAUCAAGGAAAGAAGGCUCUUUAUUUGCUUUGCUGUCAUGGUAUCCUUCCCAUUCCACUGGCUUCCAGCACAUAUGUGGAAACUUUUUGGGAAAGUUCCCCAAAACUUUGGGGAACUGUGUUCCCCUGAAGUUUGGAGGGUGAGGAGUGAAAGAGGUUGAGAAGAAUGAGCUGGCUGGGUUGGACAUUCAGAGGUG